UUAAACAGCGAAACUGCGGACGGCUCAUUAAAUCAGUUAUCGUUUAUUUGAUAGCACCUACUACAUGGAUAACUGUGGUAAUUCUAGAGCUAAUACAUGCUAAAAAUCCCGACUUCGGAAGGGAUGUAUUUAUUAGAUUAAAAACCAAUGCCCUUCGGGGCUCUCUGGUGAUUCAUAAUAACUGCUCGAAUCGCAUGGCCUUGCGCCGGCGAUGGCUCAUUCAAAUUUCUGCCCUAUCAACUUUCGACGGCUGGGUCUUGGCCAGCCAUGGUGACAACGGGUAACGGAGGGUUAGGGCUCGACCCCGGAGAAGGAGCCUGAGAGACGGCUACUACAUCCAAGGAAGGCAGCAGGCGCGCAAAUUACCCAAUCCCAAUUCGGGGAGGUAGUGACAAUAAAUACUGAUACAGGGCUCUUUUGGGUCUUGUAAUCGGAAUGAGAACAAUUUAAAUCCCUUAACGAGGAACAAUUGGAGGGCAAGUCUGGUGCCAGCAGCCGCGGUAAUUCCAGCUCCAAUAGCGUAUAUUAAAGUUGUUGCAGUUAAAAAGCUCGUAGUUGAACCUUGGGCCUGGCUGGCCGGUCCGCCUCACCGCGUGCACUGGUCCGGCCGGGCCUUUCCCUCUGGGGAGCCGCAUGCCCUUCACUGGGCGUGUCGGGGAACCAGGACUUUUACUGUGAAAAAAUUAGAGUGUUCAAAGCAGGCCUAUGCUCGAAUACAUUAGCAUGGAAUAAUAGAAUAGGACGUGUGGUUCUAUUUUGUUGGUUUCUAGGACCGCCGUAAUGAUUAAUAGGGACAGUCGGGGGCGUCAGUAUUCAAUUGUCAGAGGUGAAAUUCUUGGAUUUAUUGAAGACUAACUGCUGCGAAAGCGUUCGCCAAGGAUGUUUUCAUUAAUCAGGAACGAAAGUUAGGGGAUCGAAGACGAUCAGAUACCGUCGUAGUCUUAACCAUAAACUAUGCCGACUCGGGAUCGGACGAUGUUAUUUUUUGACUCGUUCGGCACCGUAUACGAAAGUAAAGUUUCUGGGUUCUGGG
rnacentral:rRNA from 1 species